CUAUGGGGUGCACUUAGAGUUUUGAUUUCUAGGGGAUAGGUUCGAGUCCUAUUUUUUUAAGGAG
rnacentral:tRNA from 1 species